CCAGUAUUCCAAGUUCACCUUGCCUGCUACCUAAAAAGAAAAACAAGCACCGGAAUUUAGAUGAACUCCCUUGGAGUGCAAUGACAAAUGAUGAGCAGGUGGAAUAUAUUGAGUAUCUGAGUCGGAAAGUGAGUACUGAGAUGGGUCUUCGGGAGCAACUUGAUAUUAUUAAGAUCAUUGAUCCUUCUGCUCAAAUCUCCCCUACAGACAGUGAGUUUAUUAUUGAACUUAACUGUCUCACAGAUGAAAAACUGAAGCAGGUCAGAAACUAUAUCAAGGAACAUAGCCCUCGCCAACGGCCUGCAAGAGAGGCCUGGAAGAGAAGCAACUUUAGUUGUGCAAGCACCAGUGGAGUGAGCGGUGCCAGUGCCAGCGCCAGCAGCAGCAGUGCCAGCAUGAAGCGAUCCAAGCAGCGGAAGUUACAGCAGAAGGCCUUCCGCAAGAGGCAGCUGAAGGAGCAGAGGCAGGCCCGGAAGGAGAGGCUCAGUGGGCUCUUCCUUAACGAAGAGGUGCUGUCCUUGAAAGUGACUGAGGAAGACCAUGAAGCAGAUGUUGAUGUUUUGAUGUAAUAAGGGUGAAUUUAUCAACGUUCUUUAUGAGCAUUAAAAUACUCCAUCCUUAUGGGUUUACAUGCAUCUUGACCAAAAUUUUGGUUAGGGCUGUGCUGAUGUACCAUUAAUAAUUUAAGCCAGUGGUUCUUGGCAGGUGAUCCCAAGACCUGCAGCUUCAGCAUCACUUGAGAAGUUGUUAGGAAUGCAUACUAGUGGGCCCCGCCCCCAGACAUAGUGAAUCAGAAACCAACAGGGAGGCGCCUAGCAUUGUUUUUUUAACAAGUGCUGGGUUAUUCUGAUGCACAGUCUAGUUUAAGAACCACUACUUUGGGUAAACGUUUUGACUGUUUAAAGUUUAUGGCGGUGAAGUGGGCGUCUUCAAAGACUAGUACUUACACAGUUUAGAAGAUUUCAAGGUACUGCUGACAGUAGUUUAUUAUGUCAGUAUACAUACAUGUGUAGAGAUCAUAAUUUAGUUCCCUUCUUAAUGUUACAAUUUCUUAGUUUACUUUUCCUAAAGGGCCAUAGCAUAAUUCUUGAUUCCUGGUGGAAAUCUUUUCUGAGGUGUGGGGGUGGGCAAGGUGUGGAUUGCUGUUUACGAUAGUGCCUUCAUUAGUUUUAGUUCUGUGUGUUUUCAUUCAUUAUUGACUCAAAGGUAUUAGAACAGGCCCUUAUCUUUUUCCUAUUAGAUUUAUUUUUGUUUUUUACUUUAUGUAAGUUCAGAAUCCUUUUUUAAGUGAUGACUACUGAUGAAAUAAUGUUACUAGUAGCUGAAUUUUAGACUUGAUGCUAUGUUGAUUAAUAUUUAAAUGGUGAAAGUAAUUAGGCAAAAUAAGCAAUUCUGCUUUUCUGUUGCUUUCAGAAUUUUUAGGCUGUAAAAUUGUCUCAGGCAGGAAGUCAGUCUAUAUCUCUCUCAAGUUCUUAUUGUAGGUCAUUUUUUUUCAGCACAGCUCUAAUUUUUAAAUAUUUGGUAUAACAGCUUCUGGCAUGUGACCUAGUUAAUGUUGAAAAUUAACUGAUGAAAACCCUUGUAGAUCUGCUAAACUUCUCUAUAAAUUGCUAGAAAUAUACAGAGCAAUGAGAUAUAGAAAACACCUUAGCUUGUUGGUUAUUAAUAGAGCUCUAAUUUUAACUGUGAAAUCAUGGAGUUUCUUUAAAUGUUUUCCUAGAGUGUUUGUUAUCAUGAACAUUAGAAAUAGCGUUAUUCCUUUUCUUCUACCACAUGUCUUGAACAUUCACAUGGGUUAAAGAAGAUGGAAACUGAUACUACUGACAAUCAAGCUGCUUUCUGACUUUCAUAAUUUUCUUCAUAUUGUGGAUAGCAUUUUGAAGGUGACCGUGAUUCUGUAGGAAGAGCUGUAAUCAAUAUUUUUCAAACUCUAAGAGUACAGAGGUUAGUAAGAUUUCUACUUUUUUUUUUUUACUUUUUGUUAUGUCAAGUAGCUUAUUAAGAAAAAGAUUCAUGACUUAAAUUCUUAAUUCUCAGUUGAUACAAAGGCUUAUAAUCAUGUGUUUUAAAAUUUUGAUUUCAUUUUCGUUCCUUGAAGGUUAAAGAAUGGAAACUGGGGAUAAAAAUUAAUACACUGCAGCUUUGCCAAGGUCUGUGAUAUGGUUGUAACCUUUUAAAGACUACUAAAGUCAUAAUUUGAAAUUUUUAUUAAAAUAAAACAUAUGUGUCUAUGGUUUUCAA
rnacentral:sRNA from 1 species